rnacentral:pre_miRNA from 14 species
GUCUAGGACCCCUGGGUGGUCGCGCAUAUCCCGGACGAGCCCCCAAAUGAAAGACCCCCGAAGGGAGCCCCCCACUCAAGUCUCGGGAAAGACGCGCACCCAGUAGGACACAGACACCG